CGUACUUGUAGGUAUAAGGGAAUAAUAUGUUAAGUUUGGGGUAAUAAGGGGUUAAGAAUAUGUAGAAUUAUAAAUUAUUUAUACUCUAAGUAUUUUAUAACUACAUGGUACCUAUUAUAAUAUUACAUGGUAUGUAUGACUUAUUCAAGUCUAUGGGUAAAUUAUGUUUUAUUUUUUUAUUUUAUUUUAUUGUGGAUUUUUCAUAUUGACUACUGAAUGUUGUAUACAGUCGAUGUCUACGAGCCACAUCGGCAAAUAAAUAUAAAAGCACAUCACUUUUAUUUUAGUAGCCUAUAUUACUUGCUUUUAAUAACAAAAGUCCAACUGAUUUAAUGUGGUUAUCUUUUUUUAAGGUAAGUACAAUAAAAAUAGCAACUUAUUCCCCAUUUACCAGGAAACUCUUACAUUUGCGGACAUAUUUGAAGUGGUGCUUUGCAAUUUAUUUAAUUUUAUUUCAAAUGACACAAUAAUGACCACAAAGCAGCACGCUAUUUGUUUAUUUUUAAUAGGUGUUAUCAUUGGUAGAAUAAAACUUUGCAACAUGUGUAAACACAAGUAUUUUAGCCAAAUAUAAUUUAUGCAAUGGCAAUCCAGAAUGAAACAACAGCAGAUAUCAGCUCCGGCUAAAGCAAAAGACGACUACAUGAGUAGGCUACUGCGCAUGUGUAGAGCACGCAGACGUCUGCAGGAGGUUUGCUGGAACGCGAUCCUGAGGUGAAAUUUCUUUAAGAGGUUUUAAAAACUUUCUACCCUGUGGAGUACGGCUGCGAGUGAUGUGAGCACGAUCCGCAUGCUGGAUAAGAACAGCAUUUGUGAGACGACAUCAACUCAACAUCCGAGUGGACAAGAACACCAACAGAGGAAGCCAGCCGCAAAAACAACGAAUAAUUGUCAUGACUUUUUAUUUGAAAUAAAAGUUAUGUGAUAAUAAA